rnacentral:rRNA from 1 species
GUGGGGAAUAUUGCACAAUGGGGGAAACCCUGAUGCAGCGACGCCGCGUGAGUGAAGAAGUAUUUCGGUAUGUAAAGCUCUAUCAGCAGGGAAGAAAACAAGGAUCGAAGAUCCCUGAGACGGUACCUGACUAAGAAGCCCCGGCUAACUACGUGCCAGCAGCCGCGGUAAUACGUAGGGGGCAAGCGUUAUCCGGAUUUACUGGGUGUAAAGGGAGCGUAGACGGUGAAGCAAGUCUGAAGUGAAAGGCCGGGGCCCAACCCCGGGACUGCUUUGGAAACUGUUUGACUGGAGUACAGGAGAGGUAAGUGGAAUUCCUAGUGUAGCGGUGAAAUGCGUAGAUAUUAGGAGGAACACCAGUGGCGAAGGCGGCUUACUGGACUGUAACUGACGUUGAGGCUCGAAAGCGUGGGGAGCAAACAGGA